rnacentral:lncRNA from 1 species
UAAAAUCAUAUUUUGUUAUUUAUUCUUUUCCUAUGUCUAUCUAUAUUUCUCUCUCUCUUUCUAUCUCUCUCUCUUUCUCUCUCUCUCUCUCUCUCUCUUUGUAUCCAUUCAUUUCAUCUCAUACUUCUAAGAAACAAACUCUGCUUUGUGCUCCUUAUGCAGUUUAGUGCAAUAUAGGUUUGUUCUCACCCAGAUUAUUUUCUUCUCCCAGUUUAAGAACUCUUGCUGGUAGAUAACUUAUUUGCUAGAGCUUUGACCAUCAAUAACACUGGACACAGUGUUUGGGAUUAUAUUGUCUCCCACAGAAUUCGGUGCCCUUUCCCCUUUGUCUAUUCCCUUUAAUAGGACCCUCUUUACUUAAGUGGUGUUUGCAGGUAGAUUGUGUCCCUUCAGGAUGUUGCUACUGUUAAUCUCUGUAUUCAGGAGAAGUAUAGUUUAAAGUGGUUGUACUAAGAAAAGGUGAGCUUUAAGACCAUGCUGUAGAGAGCUGGCUUGGAGUAUUGGGUUUGAGACAAAGGAUGAGUCGUUUUAGUUAAGGAUGCAAGCUUGGUCCUAUCACAUGAUGUUAGGUAACCAAUAAGAAGUCUAGUUGGAAGAAAGGGUAAUGUGGGUCUGGACAGUUUAAUAAAACUUUGAAACUUUAAGUUUCCAGCUCAUUCUCUGCCCAGCUGCCAUUGCUUCGAACACUGCCCUGUAUAUAUUCAAUCUCCAUGUUGGAGCAUGUGCUACUAAAUAUAUCUGUAGCCUCUAUCUGAUUUUCUUCUUCAAAAUAUAUAUACAAAACGUAUAUAUAUCAACUUUACCUUCUUCAAGUUUCUCUAAGUUUUGAGAGAGUUUCCUGUACUAUAUUUGAUUGGGCAUUUCAUCCAACUUCAACCUUUAUGAGUUGCAUGGUUAUCAUCCCAGUUCCUGAUUUUAUAUUGCAAGCAAGUGUUGGCUCUUUUACUAGGCGGAUCUUUUACUAGGCGGAUCUUUUACUAGGGUCUUUUAAUUGAUGAAAUUCAUCAAGCUUCAAGCUAUCGUUCAACUUGUUCCUGUGUUCUGCGUGCUGCGACGUCCUCUUCAACGACACAGAGACGCCGGAUAUAUUGAUCAACCGCGUAUCGCGAGCGAGUUCAUGAACAUUUAAUAAUUUGGUUACUUUAAUAUUUAGAUAAUAGUCGGUUUAGUUAUAAGUUAUAAUACCUUAUAAUGUUAUAGUUGUAAGUUGUGGAAGUUUUGUUUAUUUCAAUGUUUACUUGAUUUGCAGUUGUUAUUGACAACGAGCUAAUAAAGGCAUUGCCAGGUUAUUUUGUUAAAACGUAA